UGGGUCCACCUCCCACCCGUGUCUAUCGUACCUUGUUGCUUCGGCGGGCCCGCCGUUUCGACGGCCGCCGGGGAGGCCUUGCGCCCCCGGGCCCGCGCCCGCCGAAGACCCCAACAUGAACGCUGUUCUGAAAGUAUGCAGUCUGAGUUGAUUAUCGUAAUCAGUUAAAACUUUCAACAACGGAUCUCUUGGUUCCGGCAUCGAUGAAGAACGCAGCGAAAUGCGAUAAGUAAUGUGAAUUGCAGAAUUCAGUGAAUCAUCGAGUCUUUGAACGCACAUUGCGCCCCCUGGUAUUCCGGGGGGCAUGCCUGUCCGAGCGUCAUUGCUGCCCUCAAGCACGGCUUGUGUGUUGGGCCCCCGUCCCCCUCUCCCGGGGGACGGGCCCGAAAGGCAGCGGCGGCACCGCGUCCGGUCCUCGAGCGUAUGGGGCUUUGUCACCUGCUCUGUAGGCCCGGCCGGCGCCAGCCGACACCCAACUUUAUUUUUCUAAGGUUGACCUCGGAUCAGGUAGGGAUACCCGCUGAACUUAAGCAUAUCAAUAAGCGGAGGAA
rnacentral:rRNA from 1 species